GGGAUAGCUUAGUUGGUAGAGCAUGGGACUUUUAAUUUCAGGGUCAUGGGUCUGAGUCCAACGUUGGGCCA